rnacentral:rRNA from 1 species
AGAGUUUGAUCCUGGCUCAGGACAAACGCUGGCGGCGUGCCUAACACAUGCAAGUCGAACGGGCUUCCUGCGGGGGUAACUCUGCGGGAAAGUCAGUGGCGGACGGGUGAGUAAUGCGUUGGUAACGUACCCCCCGGUCCGGGAUAACUGCUCGAAAGGGCAGCUAAUACCGGAGAUUUCCCUUGCCGGCAUCGGCGAGGGAAUAAAGGAUUUAUUUGCCGGGGGAGCGGCCUACGUUCUAUCAGCUAGUUGGUGAGGUAAGAGCUCACCAAGGCGACGACGGAUAGCCGGUCUGAGAGGAUGAUCGGCCACACUGGGACUGAGACACGGCCCAGACUCCUACGGGAGGCAGCAGUGAGGGAUAUUGCGCAAUGGGCGAAAGCCUGACGCAGCGACGCCGCGUGAGGGAUGACGGCCUUCGGGUUGUAAACCUCUGUCAG